UUUCCCACAAUUUUAUCUCAAUUCCCCAUUUUUUUCUCACGAUCUCCCCAAUCCCUAGAGUCCCUAACCUAGCACUCCCUCUCACUCUCACUCUCUCUCUCUCCUCUCUCUUUAUCUCUUCUGCCUACGUCGUCGCCUUUGGUGCCGCCACCGGCGACCGCCACUGGCGACCGCCACUGCUGCCGCCACACCUGCUCCCUCACCGCCCUCUCUCUCGUCGCCUCAGUGAUUUCGAUUCAUUUCAGAGAGGGGGGCGAGAGAUUCAUUUCAGAGCAAUUUUGAUUUUGAUUUUGAAGUUCUCUCUCAAUUUCGAAGUUCUGUCUCUCUCGAUUUCGAACAUCCAUCGUCACCACCGGCGAUAGUGAGCACUAUCGUCUACGAAGGUACAAUGUUGAUUUGGUUGGGCAGAUAAGGAUCGAAAACUGGGAUUAGAAUGCCUUAGAUAGAAGGCAGUUGAAGAGAUUUGUGUGACAGAGGCCUGUGUGAUGGAGGCCUGAUGGAUUAGAAGGAUAGGAGGGACAGAGAAAUUUGGGACAUAGGAUCAUGUGCCGUCUGCACUAGUUACAAUAUACAACUAUGAAUUCAUGGUUGAAAAUGUGGCUAAUUUGUGACCCUAGAAGCAACAUUGCAAUUUAAACAUAUUAUUUGCAUAUGGAAUUCAUAGUUCUCACUAGCAGAGCUUUCAACAGUUUCAAAACACCUUUGGAUUGUGGUAGCCGAUAACUGUCUUGAAAUUGCGACUAACAAAAGCGGGUGUUGCGUUCUGCAACAAUGUGUGUUACAUGCUGAGGGAGAACCCAGGGAGCGUCUCCGGGCUGAAAUCAUCAGAAAUGCCUUGAUCCUAGCUGAACAUCCUUAUGGGCACUGCUAUUCCAAUGCUUGAAGCUGUUAUUGAUGUUGUACCUUUGGAGAAGCUCGCUGUUCAUUUCCACGAUACUUAUGGACAAGUUGUUUCAAAUAUUCUUGUGUCACUCCAAAUAUUUCCCCAGUAGCAGUUUGCUUCUUGUGGAAUGCAUGCGUGUGAAGAUUGCGAUUAACUUUUGUUUUU